rnacentral:rRNA from 1 species
UACGAAGGGGGCUAGCGUUGCUCGGAAUUACGUGGGCGUAAAGGGCGCGUAGGCGGCCCGCUAAGUCGAACGUGAAAUCCCCGAGCUCAACUCGGGAACUGCGUCCGAUACUGGCGGGCUUGAAUCCGGGAGAGGGAUGCGGAAUUCCAGGUGUAGCGGUGAAAUGCGUAGAUAUCUGGAGGAACACCGGUGGCGAAGGCGGCAUCCUGGACCGGCAUUGACGCUGAGGCGCGAAAGCUAGGGGAGCAAACGGG